rnacentral:lncRNA from 10 species
GGAGAGACCAGGGAAAGAUAAUUGGAGCCCUUGGAACUGAGCUCCCAGCGACAGCCUCUGCCCAUAGCGUGGAGAACGUUAAGUCCAGCUCCCUGGAGGCAGAAUUCAUCUCUGCGGUUUCCCUUCCAGAGCAUGUGGCCGGCAUCUCCACUAAGACGAAUCACAGCAGGGCAGGCCUGAAAAGACAUAUUUUGGAGAACAUGUAUUGACUGUUCCAGCUGUGAGCAUGCUUCCUGCCCUCCCUCCAGGCUGCCCAGCAGUGCCGCUGCUGCAAAUCCAGGGGUUGCUGAGAGGACGGACUGCUCACAGGGCAGCUGCUGAGGUACAGAACCCACAGGUCGGGGACACGGUCACUGCCAGCUGCCACUCAAGAAAGAAGACGUGGCAGGAAGUUGCUGUGAAAGUAACCACCCCCAACUGCUACCACCCAAGAUAAGCAGGUGUGGCUCUGGGCCCCUCAGCAGCAGGCCAGUGGAGAGGUGAGACUAGCAGUGUGUGGCCUGGGACAGGAGUAGAUAAAAGGCAGCCAUGGUGAGCCAGCGCCAUGAGGAGUGGCUGCCUCUUGAAUCCUGUCAGUCUCCGGCAGAUCCGAUUACAUCUGGGACCCUUAAGAGUACUUGAAGCAAACGGCGCUGGUCUAUUUUAAUCCUGCUCCUUCUAGAAACUAGAAACUGUAAGGAGAGUCUUCCUGCUGACAGGUGGCUCCAUAAAAGUCGUCCAUCUGCUGCUAAUUAUGGCAGAAAGAAAAUUCACAGAGCCGAGUUUUCAGUUUAUUUGCUAAAGAUCUCCAAAGGUGUAACUGUCUUCCCAGAUCACAAGGCCAUUCACAGCGUUACAUCUAUAGCGCUUGUUAAUUAUUUAAAUAAUUUACAACUCGGGGUGGCAGCGAGCAUUUAACAGAAGUCUGGCUGGGUGAGGAUGGGUUUGAUGGUUGAUCAUGGCAGAGGAGGAGAAUCUGUUUUCACAGCUCACAGAAUCUAGACUUGUGGGGUUUUGUUGUUCUCCUUACCAUUCUUUCCAAGGGAAACUCAAAAAAGGGUCAGAAUUUGGAAUAUUUUGGACUUGAUUGCUUUGAUUCCCAAACUUCAGUUCAUCUCCCUCUCCUCUUCAUGGUUUCAUCUAUAAAAUGGGUACAAUCUCUCAACUGUUUAACUCAGAAGGCUUUUGUGAUCUUGGAAUAGGAUAAUUUAUUAAAAAGUGUCAUGUAUAGCAUAAUAUAUAAAGAAUUUUAGACCCAUGAAAUAGAUAGAAAUGAGUAAAUCUGAUAGGUCAGAUGAUAAAAUAAUUUAAUAAUAAAA